AGGCCCCGCCCCCUCUGCGCUUCCGCCAGGGCGGAAGAGGCGAGCAGUAACUUUCCCAGAGUUCCUCCGAGCUCAGGGACUCACGGAGGGGCCGCGGCCGGCGCGAUGGGCGGGGCCAAGAGUAUGGGCGGGACCGGCCGCGGAGGGCGGGGCCACAGGCGGGGCCGCACGGGCCCCACCCGGUCCUCUCGGGCUCGCGCAGCCUGUGACACGACCUGAGGUGGUGGUACCUGGGGUUCACCUAAUCUUUCUCCUCAAAGUGAAACCAUUGCGGGCGGUAGUCUCCGCGCGUGCGUUCGCUGCGGCCCGUGGGUCGCGUGGUCAGCUCGGAACCUGAGGGUGUGGGGGAAGGUCGGGGCGUCUGGGAAAGGGUCCUGGCAGGCAGGGUGGAGGAGGAUCGCGAGGCCGGGCCGGGGGAGGGUCGCCAAGCGUUCCCGCCGGACCCGAGCCCGUGGCCGUGACCGCGCUCCGGGUUCUGCGGCGGCUGUGCUGGUUGGUGCUGGAUGAGAGGAGCUGCACGCGGCUGGGCGCGCGGGCUGCGCGGGGCCUGCCGGAGAUACCCUCCUGCACACGCUACGCGCCACAGCCGCUGGGACAUCUUGGCCUAUCUGGGACCUGGACAUCGAAGCCGUUCACCAGGACUACAAGCGGGCUCUCUCUGCACGAGGCUGCCUCCAUGGGACACCCGGACUGCGUGCGGUACCUGCUGGCCCGGGGGGCCGCCGUCGACUGCUUGGAAGGCCGACUGGAAACAACCUGACCAAGCCCGCCUGUCAAUGACUGCAGGAAGGGAAUUAACACAUUCCCUUCAGAGGCUGAUGGGAACCAGGAAAGGUUUGACUUUACUCUUUCUCCUUUUAGUGUAAACUAAGCCUGAAUUCUAACUCAGGCAAGAUGGUUCUUAUGGGACAUGAGUCCACCAUUAUCUUGAUCUACCAGCUUUCCAAACAAAGUUGCUAUUCCUUGCCCCAAUAAUUCAUCUCUUGAUUUAUCGGCCCAUCCUGUAGGAAGCAACAGGACUUGGUAACAGGAUGAUGCUACUUAUGUCUAAGGCCUUCAAGUGAGCGUCAGCUCACUGGCUGGUGCUGCUGUAUAGGUAACAGUUUACCAGAGAUCUCUUCUUGCAGACGAGGCAAAGUCUAUGCCAGUUGUAAAUGAGUGUAACUACCUGUACUUAGGUGUGUCCUGUGGGGGAGGACAAAAACUAUCCUUCUAGGUUCAUCUGGCUGGUUAAGAAGCGACUUAACAUGAGACAGAUUAACAGGAGAAAAGCAAACAAAAGGUUAACAACAUGUAUACUUCUGUAUACAUGGGUGAGAACCAGAAAACGUGAGUAACUCACCAGAAUGGUUGAAACCCUCACCUUAAAUGCCAUCUUCAGCUAGAGACAGAGGAGGAUGUUGUGGGUAGUGGUUUGGGACUAGAAUGUGGAGGAAGGUGAUUCACAUGGAGAUGGAAAAGCAAGUGUUUGGAACUCUCUGUAAAUAUUUGGAGUUCCCCUGACCACACCUGGCCCACAUUUUUUCUCAGUAUCUCUGGUAGUAGCUGUCUUCCUGGGCCAGCCCCUUUAUCUAAACUAUUCAACAUUUAAGGAGGCAGUCAAAAGAAAGGCUUUGAGUCUUUUGUUUCUUAAAAAUAUUCUGCCUAAAAUCAUUCUCUUGCCAAAGAGACACAUUUUGGGGUGACAAAUUUAGCUUCCCUACAGUGCCCUGGAUCAGGUAGAAAAGGUUAAUAUGGAAACAAAAGGAGGAAGCCACCUUGCUUCCCAAAAUAGUCCCUAAAAUUUUGGGGGACUUGGCUUAGAUUCCUGAAUCUAAGACUUGGGGGACUUUGGCUGAGACCAAUUUCUUUUGCUCAGUAAGGGUCUUGCUGAUUAAAUGUUGCCCAAGACAAGCCAAAAGGAUUUGGUGCCCAUCAACUUCAGGUUUCCUUGGACUGGUUACAGUGGCUGAAUUGCGGCCUAAAACUCUUCUAGGAACAAGGAGGGAAAUUGUGGGGAAAUAAACUUCCCUGGGAUCAGUUUUGUAAAAAGCCCAGAUCUUCUGAGACUCUUCAGCACAGACAUCUGCAACCAUUCAUCUAGUUAAUAGCUCUGAUCUGAAAGAAUUCAUAGUCUCAUCUCCCCAAGGAGCAGGAGAGACCUACAGCCCAGAGUAGGUCCCCCAAAGGUGCUCCAUCUCCCUAAGAAUUUAUAUUUCAAGGUGGGAUGAGGCCCAGAACCUUGGAGACUCCAGGUCAGGCUCCUGGAGAGAUUUGUUACCAGCAAAGCCCAUAAACAGUUACCAGGUUAAACAAACAAACAAACAAACAAACAAAAAAGAACAAUAUUAGGAAUAAAAAUACUAACCUCCUUUCCCUUGUGCGUAGUCUGGUUUCUCUUGCUUGCUGGGUGUUUCCUGCAGAGGCCUUGCUCCUGGCUCUUCAAACCCCAGUUCCUGGUGUGAACCAGCUUGGCCGAUGCUCUUGCUUGGGCUGGAGGUGCCGUGUGUGGAGACGCUGCACCCACCUUAAUGCAAGAUGGCAAUGAGCCUUGUGAGCCCCAUUACCAGGAGCAGCUGCACCUAUCUCUGCUCCCCAGAACCCCGCCAACUCCACCCACUCCCCCGCUGAUGAGAGCCCUACAGAGCAGCCCCACCCAUAGCCUGUUGGAAAGUGUGGACUGUACAGUGGGUGCUCCCACUUCUCAGUUCCUUUGCUUCUCAACACAACUCAUUUCAUUGGUGGAGAAACACGGGGCAGAAGGACCCUUUUUGGGGUGGGUGACACCUUUACUUACGUACCAAAGGCCUGAGUAAGGAGGACAUCCUUCCCAGGAGAGGAGAAGGCCCUUCUCAGCAGCAGGGACAAGGUUUUCUUCCGUUCUGCACCUGCUGGUGUGGAACAACUGACCUGCUCUCAACACACGGCCCCAGGUGCAGUCCUGGGCAAGGGGGCAACACUUGUAUGUUUACUAUCAGAUAUUUAAUAAGAACUGUGUGUCUGAUCACAAUGACCUGUCCGUGCCUUCAGGAUAAAAGGAAUGAAUACUGAAAGCCUAGCCAAAAGGAGGGAGUGUCUCCAAAAGGUCAGUUAGAGUGAACGCCAAGAGGUAGGAGGAAUUCAGAUGGACAAGGGCAGGAAAGGUGUGGCUUUGAUUCAGCAAUGUGGUAGUCAUCAGUGUCUUGGGAGUAGUUUUGAGGAAAGAAAGGGAAGACAGUCUAGAACUGCUAGGGAUACAGGUGAACCUUUCAAGAAGUUUGUUGUGGGACCUCAGAUUGUCUGGUACAAGUGAGAGGGGAGAAGCAUGGUGAGAAGUUCGUAGAGAAGAGAUCUGAAAUCCUUAUCAGAAGAUACAGAUUAAUAAAAGUAGCAGGAUCACUGGGCAGUGCAGCACUGAGACCCUUGGAGAGGGUGAUGGGGAGAAGGAUCAUCAGUCUCAUAUGAAACUGGAGUUCUGCCAAGUCAGAUCACUGAGAGGACAGAAAGACAAGGGGAUGAAGGAUUAAGUGAGCAGUAAUAACAUGUCAGCUCUUGGAACUGUUGGUGAGGAAAACACUUCCUCCACCCUUUAGGUUCAGUUAUUGGGAAUCUGCCAAUUAAAUUGACAAAA